GUCCGUCUGUGUGUUUGCAGGAAAGACGAUGACGGACGGCAAGAAGAAGCAGGGGGAGAUGGCAGUGAUGGGGGAUGUGGUCAUCCUCCUCUGCAUUCUGCUAUCAGUUGGCUCCCAGCUGGUGGGGAUGCUGGUGCCGGGCUGGUGGGUCUACCCGGCCAACGACAGUGGCUCCAUCAACGCCAGCACCACGACCUACGGCUUGUGGGUGACGGUCAUUUGCGUGGAGGGCGACUGCAAUGAGAUUCCUACAGACACAUCAGGAUCAAACGCCUGGCUACAAGUAACUUAGGUGUUUGAGAGUGUGGCCGUUGGGUUCUGCCUGCUGGCGGCAGCCUGUCUCGUGGUGACCAACCUGAGAAGCGAGUUAGAACUCUUCCUUUUGCUGCGCCGCCUUUCUGUCUUCCUACUCGCGGCUUCAGCAACUUCUGUCUUGAUCGGAAUGGCGGUAUUUCUGAAGAAGUCUUCAGGUCUAGCUCGCUACCCGCUGCGCAGCACCUUUGUUGGUCGUCUGGAGUGGCCCAUCGCAUUCUCCAUCGUGUCGGCCUGUCUGACGGUCUUCGUGGCCGUCAUCAUCGGCGACAAGCUUCGCCGGCAACACCAGGAGGACCUCACCGUCCGCCCAGUGCCGUAGUGGUGUCAGCCUUGCAUGCAACACAUUCUCAAACAACGAUGGGAUCAUUCUGCCAUGGAUUGUUUGUGCUAGAGCAUCAACAGCCUC
rnacentral:lncRNA from 1 species